rnacentral:rRNA from 1 species
CUUGGUCAUUUAGAGGAAGUAAAAGUUGUAACAAGGUUUCCGUAGGUGAACCUGCGGAAGGAUCAUUAACAAAUCCAAUAAUUGCGAGAGAACACUUGUUCUUUUUGCAAAUAUUAAUCCGCUGGUUGCUCUUAGUAGCAGCUGGCUGUGAUAUAAAUGCGUGUUAUGUUGACAGUGUGUGUAUAAAUUAAUAUUGACAACUUUUAACAAUGGAUCUCUAGGCUCUUGCAACGAUGAAGAACGCAGCAAAAUGCGAAACGUGAUGCGAUUUGCACGAAUCUGUGAGUCAUCUAAUCUUUGAACGCGAAUGGCACUGCUAUGUAAGUAGCAGUAUGUCUGUUUGAGAAUCGCAAAACACGAUCAACUCUAGUUAAGAGUUGGGAUUGACCUCAUAUGCUUUUAGCGUAUCUGGUUUGAAUGUAUUAAGUUGAUGGGCUUCCCAGCAUUGCUCAAUGUGUGCUAGCGAGACAGUCGUCCCGAUCUCACAUUACGGCUUUGUUGCAAGGUUCUAUUCACAACUUUUUAUUUAUUUUAUCAAGUACGAUCUCAAAUCAGGCAAGAUUACCCGCUGAACUUAAGCAUAUCAAUAAGCGGAGGA